ensembl:lncRNA
GGGAAUGGAGGGAAAUAACUGACUGUAUGAUCGUUGCUUUUUAAGUUUCAAACUGACAUUCCAGGCGGGCUGUUGCCUGAGUGAGCAUCUGUCUUCAGAAUUUCACAGUGGGUUCCUGGGAAGGUGGAAGCCUCUCCCUGAUGGGUGAAGUGAGGAGCAGGAGGGGACCGACACGACAGAGGUGUGCAGCCUCCAGCAUCUCCUCCUUUGUGAACUGGAUCCUCCCCAAGGAGACUACGAGAUGAAAACUUCGGAGCCCGGGAGUGAGUGGCCAGCAGGUUGCAGACGUCAGGUGAUGGCCACCAGCCAGCAUGGAACACGCCCCCACAAGACACACAGCAGAGGUGCCACCUGGACCUCCCACCCUGUCAUCUCAAUGCCUUGGACCCCUGGCCAGGAUAUGUGGGGAUGGCACCCACCUGGGCACCCAGCUACUCAUCUGCUGUCUCACCAAUGAGGAGAAUGAAGAACACAGCUCUAUAUGAUGGAUCUGUGAAGUGUUCCUUGAAUAUCUCUGCCCAGAGUGCAACAAUGAGGCCGCUAAUUGAACAAUUCCAACAACCCCGUGGCAUCGUCAAGGUGCAGGAGGCGCGGAGGUUCUGCCUUUUCUUCUCUGGUGCUCGAGACACCCCUGGUUCAUACCCUGCAAAGCCCUUGGCCUUGAAGAUGGCCCUCCUUGCUCUGCAGCUGAGAGGGAAGAGAUGGGCGUGAACACAGAGCUGGGUGAGGCCUGCCUCUGCUCCCCCAUAGCCAGGCUCCAGGCCUAGAGCAGAGAGAGGGGCUGGAAGACCCUAACCUUGGCCUUGUCAGCCAUGCGGGGCUGGCUGUUCUCCAGGGCCAUGAGAAAGCAAAGGGGGCUCCACGCCCCCCGUUGACAAAGGAUGAGUGACCUUGGCCAGGAAACUGGACACCUUUGCUGCAGAACCAUCCAUCGGAUGUUUGCAGGCUGGUAGGGCAGGCAUAAGGCAAGCACAGAGCCCGAGAGGCUGCCCACAGGGGGAACCUGGUUCCAGGUCUCUGAGUCCCGGCUCUCUCAGAAAGGUGUGCACUACAGGCAGGGGUGGCCAUGGCCAAGCUCAGAACAUCUGCUCACUUGGGCCUGCUGGCCUCUUGUGAUGUCAGUGGAGAAGCAGGCUGGCCUCCAGCUAAUGGUCAGGGAGUGAGGGCUCCCCAAUCAGCCACAAGCCCGAGGCUUCCAGAAAGUGACCCAGAGAGAGGAGCCUGGCUCCACUCACCUAUCACCGCUGCUGCACUGACACACCCUCAGGUCCUGGCUCGUCAGUGAAUUUAACUGUGUGACCUUGGGCAGGUCACCCAACCGCUCUGUGCUGCAGUCCCCCUAUCUUGUAAAAUGGGAGUGAUACCUGCCUAACAGGGUUGUUGUGGGUCUUAAUUAGACAUAACAUCUGCAAAGCAUCUAAGCUUCUUGACAUUUAUGUGUGCACACAGGCGUGCACAUUCACACACAUUCUCGGGUGCACACACAUCCAGAGACACAUCCUCUAUACACAUGUGAGCACACACAUUUACACACAUAUUCACACACAGACACAUACACACACUUGCACAUUCACAUGUACAGACACCCCCAUUCACAUAGACCUUCACACGUGUUCACACACAUGCACAGUCACACACACACCUAAGAAACUCACUCAUGUACACACUCGUACAUGCAGACACACAGUCACAUGUAAACAUACAUACACAUAUAGAUACUUAGACUUAUACACACAAGUACAGGUGCACACAGACACUCGCACUCAUGUACUCACACAGACACACAGACACACACUCAUUAACAGGGCCUGGCUGAUACACAGGGUUGGCCUUACUUAAAAAAAUAAAAAGAAACAGGCCUUUGUCCAUCAUCCUCUCUGUUCCCCUGAGGCACCAAGGGGUGUGACUCAGGAUAGCCUUAGAGUGGCAGAGUCCUCAGGCAGGGGAUUUCUGGGUAGGGCUCAGUGAUGCCGAGCUGCCCAGUUGUAUUUGGUGGCAUCAGACCCCUGGUGUCCUCUGACCAUGCGCAUCCCUCUGCGUGAGGUGGACCCUGCGGCCUGCAGAACAGAACAGUGAGAUAUUGGAUCCAACAGUGCCAGCCUGGAACCAUGUCUUGAGCUCCCAGCCUCAGGACCCAGCAGUGGGAGCCGUGGACCACUGCUCUGGAGUCUGCAGCAGAGCAGAAGAUCUUCAUUCCCAGGUCCCUCUGGGCUCCAGGCCUGGCUCUUCAUGCCCCCAAAGGCAUUAAGAUGCCUGGCUGAACAAAAGGACCCUAGUCUCCAACCUUAGCUCUUAAAAAUAAUAAAAAUACAGAUGCUUAUAA